AUUUCCCAAUUCUCUUUUGUACGUUAUCGUCUUCUUCUUCUUCCUCUCUUCCGCUUUUCUCUCUCUCUCUCUCUCUGCAAUUUUCAAUCCCUCCAGUAACACUUCUCUCUCUCAACUGAUCAUUUUCCUUAUUCAUCUUCAACUUCAACUACAAACGCCUCUACUCUCCAUUCUUCUUUACUUCUGCAACUCCAACUCCCCGCCGCCGGCGAGGUUUUUGACGAUGAUGCUCCGGAGUAGUAGUAUGGUGCGAUUAUCGGAACGGAGUACGAGAAGUGAGCUUUUGGCUUUGUAAAUGAAUGUCUCUGACUCGUUACUGUGAUUUGCAAUUUGGGUUUUGGUUACUGUGAUUGAUGGCCUCCACUAACUCACCGCCCAACAUUGAUGCUUCGGCGUUGACGGAGGAUUUAGCGACCAAAGCUUUGAAUAAACGGUAUGAAUGCCUUGUAACUGUUCGAACAAAGGCUAUUAAAGGGAAAGGAGCUUGGUAUUGGGCUCAUUUGGAGCCUGUUCUUAUUCGAAAUCCUACUAAUAGUCUUCCCAAAGCGGUGAAACUCAAGUGUUCUUUAUGCGAUUCUGUUUUUUCGGCUUCGAAUCCUUCGCGGACUGCAUCUGAGCAUUUGAAACGAGGCACUUGUCCUAAUUUGAGUUCAAUUUCUCGGUCUAAUGCUUCGGCAGCGUCGCCGUUACCCAUAUCUUCCAUUCCCUCUCCGACAUUGCAUAACCACAAGAAGCGAAGCUCUCAAAUGAAUGCUUCAAUUCUUACUGCUUCUUAUCAAGUUCACUCUCUUGCUAUGAUUGAGCCGACGCGUUCCUAUGCUCCGCUAAUUUCCUCGCCGCCGACACCAGUGGCUCAAAAUUCGCUUGGGAUGACGAGUAAGAUGGGGUUUAAUCAGCAUCAGUUCGUGUUAUCAGGUGGGAAAGAUGAUUUGGGUGCGCUAGAAAUGCUGGAAAACAGUGUUAAGAAACUGAAGAGUCCACAUGCUUCACCUCGACCAAGGCUAAGUAAGGAACAAAUCGAUUCUGCUAUUGAAUUACUGACUGACUGGUUUAUUGAGUCAUGUGGGUCAGUUUCACUUUCGUGCCUUGAGCACCCCAAGUUUAAGGCCUUGCUUACUCAGUUGGGUUUGCCUUCAUUACCUCGAACCGACAUUUUAGGAGCUCGGCUCGACUCCAAGUUUGAGGAAGCCAAAGCUGAUUCAGAAGCCAGGAUUAGAGAUGCAGCGUUUUUUCAAAUUGCUUCAGAUGGGUGGAAGAAUAAGAACUGCUGUGGUGAAGAGAGUGUUGUUAAAUUUAUGGUCAAUCUUCCAAAUGGUACUACUGUAUUUCAAAAAGCACUAUUUACAGGGGGAUUGGUGUCAUCCAAGUAUGCAGAAGAGGUUAUUUUGGAUACAGUCAACGAGAUUUGUGGGAGUGGUCUGCAGAAAUGUGUGGGGAUAAUUGCAGAUAGGUAUAAGGCUAAGGCGUUGAGGAAUUUGGAGAUAAAGAAUCAUUGGAUGGUAAAUCUCUCUUGCCAGCUUCAGGGUUUUAUUAGUUUGAUAAAGGAUUUUAACAAAGAGCUUCCACUUUUCAGGGCAGUCACUGAAAAUUGCUUGAAGGUUGCAAAUUUUGUAAACACCAAAUCUCAAGUUAGAAAUUGUAUAAAUAAGUACAAGGUACAGGAGCUAGAGGGCCACUGGUUGCUUCAUGUUCCUUCUCCAAACUGUGACACAUCCAAAAACUUUUCGCCUGUUUAUGCUAUGCUUGAUGAUAUGCUUAGCUGUACUCAUGUGCUUCAAAUGGUUGUGUUAGACGAGUCCUUUAAGCUGGCAUGCAUGGAGGAUUCACUUGCGACUGAGGUUUCUAGUCUGAUACAAAAUGAACGCUUUUGGGAUGAAAUGGAGGCAGUUCAUUCAUUGGUGAAAAUGAUCCGUGGAAUGGCUCAAGAGAUUGAAGCGGAAAGGCCACUGAUUGGGCAAUGCUUGCCACUCUGGGAGGAGCUGAGAACAAAAGUGAAGGAAUGGUGUGUUAAGUUCAGCAUAGCUGAAGGGCCAGUAGAAAAAGUUGUAGAAAAGAGGUUUAGGAAAAAUUAUCAUCCAGCAUGGUCAGCUGCAUUUAUACUGGACCCGCUUUACUUGAGGAGGGACAUAAAUGGGAAAUAUCUUCCACCCUUCAAGUGCCUUUCACAAGAGCAGGAAAAGGAUGUGGAUUCACUUAUUAAUCGGUUGGUGUCAAGGGAAGAAGCUCAUCUCGCGUUCAUGGAGCUUAUGAAAUGGAGAUCUGAAGGGCUAGACCCACUUUAUGCUCAGGCAGUUCAGGUUAAACAAAGAGACCCUUUAACUGGAAAGAUGAAAAUUGCCAAUCCACAGAGUAGACGACUUGUCUGGGAAACUUGCUUAAGCGAGUUUAAGACCCUUGGCAAGGUUGCACUGAGGCUUAUUUUCCUCCAUUCAACAUCUUGUGGCUACAAGUGUAAAUGUUCUAUCAUGAAUUUGGUUUGCUCGCAUCGGCACUCGAGGGUUGGCUUGGAGAGAGCUCAGAAGAUGGUAUUUGUUGCAGCUCAUGCCAAGCUUGAAAGGGGAGACUUUUCUAACGAGGAAAACAAAGAUGCAGAACUAUUUGCAAUGGCAGAUGGUGAAAAUGACAUGCUCAAUGAGGUCUUUUCUGAUGCACCCUCAAUUAAAGUGCUGGAUGUGUUUGAUCAAACAGAACCAGAGCUGUCAGAAGUCAACCUCGGACUAGGUACCAUAUCUUUGCAGCUGAAGAUGCACUUGGCUGAUAGAAUCCCAGAUAUAUCGCCUGUUGUGCCUAUUUAUAUCACUUUUUGAGCCCCACUGUGUGGAGUGGAUGUCUAUCUCAAUGCUGUUGUAGAUGUCAUAGUCAAAGAAAAGACAUUUACAAGUUUUGCAGAUUUAUUGGUUAGGCUUGGCAUGAUUGCUAAAAAAGUCUUGAGCAAAGGGCAAGCAAGAAGGGCUGUCGGCAUGAGUAUGCACAUAACAAGGCCGAAAGGGAUGUAGCAACGAACUUGAAUUGAUGUUGCAUGUAUGGUUCAGAAAACAACUUUGACAACACAAAGCAGGUUGAAACUAAUUUAGGAGAAUGGAGGAGGAGGAGGUUCUAAAUCUCAAAGGAGACAUUAUGCUAAAUUUGCCAAGUUAUCUUUUAAUGAUGUAAAAUUUGUAUGGUGAGAAUGAAUUCAUUUCAAUUGGUGCAAUGAAAUCUCACCUAAAAGGACAAGUUGCUGAGGUUAUCUCAAUGAUUUUGGGUGGUGUUAAUUUAAAAUUAACCCCAAAUCAUACCUUCAAAUUAAUGCUCGCUAACAAACUGUCCAUUUGGUAGGUCAAUCCACUUGAUUAUUACUUUUAUUGCCACGAUCAUAAAUAGAUCUUUUAAUUAAUUUUUUUUAGAAAACAAUUUUUAGUAUUGUGAAACUGUUCAUUUUAUUCAUUGAAUAUUAAUAUUAUCUUUUUGGUCUUUCCUCACCCACCUAUUAAAAAGGGUCAAGCUAUGAAGGGAAAUAAAAGAUGAAACACGGUGGUUGGCCAUUGAAAAUGGUAAAGGGUAGAUAGAAAAAAAAUAUAUACAUUAAGGUGAUGUUUGCUUUAAUUUGAAUUUAUCAAAUUUAUAGUUGGAAAUUUUAUAUAUUUGGAUUAUUAUUAUUAUUAUUUAAAAAAUAAAAAAUAAAAAAUAAAAAUAAGGUGAAAGAAUUUUGGGUUUAGGUAAGGAUUUAUGAUAAGGUUGGCAUCUAAUAUGAAAAUUAGAUUUCAUAACCUUAUGUUUAUGGAACUUAUGAGAUCGAUGGAAUUGUAACAAAGAUAAACAGCUUUUAACAUUUUAAUUUUAAGGUAUACAAACAUAACUCAUCAAUCAAAACCAUUUAAAUAUUUCAAUAUCCAAAAUUAUAACCGUGAUUACUAGCACAUUUGUAUGUCAAUUAAAUUAUAUUCAUUUUUGUAUAACUCUAACCUUUGAGUCUUCAUAAAUAAGGAUAUACUCAUAUACUCUUUUUGUUUUUUUUUUUUUCCUUUUCACUUAUUUUAUAUGUAAUUUGUAUGUGAAACUAAAAAAAAAAAAAAAAAAAGCAUAUUAUAAUUCAAUUGAGGCAUAACUAGUAUUGUUCAAAUAUUUUAAUGUUAAUUUUCAAACACCCAAGGGCUAGGGCAAUUGAUUUCAUGGAAAUUAAAGGUACAUAUAAGUGUAAACCAUAGAGUCAUUUUUAGAAUUCUCAACAUUGACGUUGCAUGGUCGGAGUUUGUUGAUGGUAUGUGAUAUAGUGGGAGAUUUGGAAUGGGAAUAACCCUCUGAUGAUUGUGGAAUAUGAGUAUGAUUUGUCUGGAGUUAUUUCUUCUGUGGAUGAGGCCCUCCUUUCUCUAGGCACUUUGGUUCAUGUUUCGAGACUAUAAUAAAAUUACUCAUAAUCUAGCAGCUUUGACGUCUUCUCUUAAGCUGCAUCUCGAAAGAGGUCUUUCUUUUUGUUAUUUUGUCCCUUCUUCCUUGUAUAGUGUGUAGUUAUGGAUAUAUUAUAAUUUUUCACUUUUCCCUU